GUAAAGCGUGCGCAGGCGGUUUGUAAGUCAGAUGUGAAAUCCCCGAGCUCAACUUGGGAACUGCGUUUGAAACUACAAGACUAGAAUAUGUCAGAGGGGGGUAGAAUUCCACGUGUAGCAGUGAAAUGCGUAGAGAUGUGGAGGAAUACCAAUGGCGAAGGCAGCCCCCUGGGAUAAUAUUGACGCUCAUGCACGAAAGCGGUGGGGAGCAAACAGGAUUAGAUACCCGU
rnacentral:rRNA from 1 species